rnacentral:rRNA from 1 species
CUGGAGAGUAACACGUGGGANACCUGCCCAGAAGCGGGGGAUAACACCUGGAAACNGAUGCUANUACCGCAUANCAACUUGGACCGCAUGGUCCGAGUUUGAAGAUGGCUUCGGCUAUCACUUUUGGAUGGUCCCGCGGCGUAUUAGCUAAAUGG